rnacentral:lncRNA from 1 species
GGCGCGGCCCGCGCGGCUCCAGGUGGCGGGAGGCGGCGGUUGGCGGGAAGGGCCGCGCGGGCCCGGGGGCGGCGCCUCAGCCUCCCUCUUUGUGCUCCUUUCCCCUGCUGCCCUUCCAGAUGCGCUCUUUCCAGAAAGGCAGCACACGCAUGUCUCUGCCGUGGCCCCAGAUCCUCCCCGCGCCGCCGUUUUGAGCGUUCACACUCAUUACCCAGGUCCGUCUGGGAGACCCGCCGGGCUCCCGCCCUCCCGGCCCGCAGCCUCCUGGCCAAAAUCCUCCCGGGACACCCCACCUGGACUGCUGCGAACGGGCCUCCACCCGCCUCCCCGGACCCGCAGCGCCCCCCGCUCCCUCAGGGUUCUGGGGUGAAGGGGUCUGAAUAGCACCAGGGGAGGCGGCAGGGCGGGCCUGUCCUACCUGCGCCCGAGCACUGCUGAGACGACAUCCCUUCCAGCGCCGCCACGUAGUCCAGCCCCAGCCAGCCGCGAUAUCUCCCCACAAACCUAAACAAUUUCGAGAGGGACUUGUGUUCUGCAACCAGUCACAGAAUAUCAGGUGAGCUGGGCGUGUCUUCACUGACCCACCCGCCCAGGGAUGCUGCACUCCUCUCCACCCUGCUCAGAAUCACUAGAAUGACCGUUCUGUGGCUACAGCCCUAAAAGAGCUACUAAAAAGACCAGAAGUAGUAUGAGAACUUAUGAAUACGAAUAUAAAUAAAGGACAUCUGGAGAACAUGC